AGCGAACGCUGGCGGCAGGCCUAACACAUGCAAGUCGAACGGAUCCUUCGGGAUUAGUGGCGGACGGGUGAGUAACACGUGGGAACGUGCCCUUUGGUUCGGAACAACUCAGGGAAACUUGAGCUAAUACCGGAUGGGCCCUUCGGGGGAAAGAUUUAUCGCCAUUGGAGCGGCCCGCGUCUGAUUAGCUCGGUGGUGAGGUAAAGGCUCACCAAGGCGACGAUCAGUAGCUGGUCUGAGUGGAUGAUCAGCCACAUUGGGACUGAGACACGGCCCACACUGCUACGGGAGGCAACAGUGGGCAAUCUUGCGCAAUGGGCGAAAGCCUGACGCAGCCAUGCCGCGUGAAUGAUUCAGGUCUUAGGAUUGUAAAAUUCUUUCACCGGGGACGAUAAUGACGGUACCCGGAGAAGAAGCCCCGGCUAACUUCGUGCCAGCCGCCGCAGUAAAAC
rnacentral:rRNA from 1 species